AUUGAACGCUGGCGGAAUGCUUUACACAUGCAAGUCGAACGGCAGCACGGGGCAACCUGGUGGCGAGUGGCGAACGGGUGAGUAAUACAUCGGAACGUGCCCAAUCGUGGGGGAUAACGUAGCGAAAGUUACGCUAAUACCGCAUACGAUCUACGGAUGAAAGCGGGGGAUAGCAAGACCUCGCGCGAGUGGAGCGGCCGAUGUCAGAUUAGGUAGUUGGUGGGGUAAAGGCUCACCAAGCCAACGAUCUGUAGCUGGUCUGAGAGGACGACCAGCCACACUGGAACUGAGACACGGUCCAGACUCCUACGGGAGGCAGCAGUGGGGAAUUUUGGACAAUGGGCGCAAGCCUGAUCCAGCCAUUCCGCGUGCAGGAUGAAGGCCUUCGGUUGUAACGUGCUUUGUUACGGAACGAAACGGCGAGCUCUAAUACAAGUUUGUCUAAUGACGGUACCGUAAGAAUAAGAC
rnacentral:rRNA from 1 species